UAGCUGUGAGUUGGAAUCCCCCUAUGA
rnacentral:piRNA from 1 species